AGUUCAUGGAUGUUACAUUUGAAAAGAUUCAAAACACAAAUCAAGCUCUAAGAAUGUUGAAGAAAUUUGAAAGAUUGAAUAUACCUAAUCUUGGUAUUGAUGACAAAUAUCGACUUAUCCUUGAGAACUAUGGGGCUGACAUUGAUACGAUUUCAAAGCUAUAUACAAAGCAGAAAUACGAUCCUCCUCUGGCUCGAAACCAGCCUCCCAUCGCUGGGAAGAUCCUGUGGGCCCGCCAGCUCUUCCAUAGGAUUCGGCAGCCCAUGCAGCUUUUCCAGCAGCACCCAGCUGUGCUAAGCACAGCAGAAGCCAAACCUAUAAUUCGCAGUUACAAUAGGAUGGCCAAAGUCCUCCUGGAGUUUGAGGUCCUCUUCCACAGGGCGUGGCUUCGGCAGAUUGAAGAAAUUCAUGUAGGUCUUGAGGCUUCAUUAUUGGUGAAGACUCCAGGCACAGGGGAAUUGUUUGUAAACUUUGAUCCUCAGAUAUUAAUCUUAUUUAGAGAAACAGAGUGCAUGUCCCAGAUGGGUCUGGAAGUCACCAUUGGCAGCUUCCCUCUUCCAGAAGCGAGACAGAUACAAAAGGAACUUCAGUAACGUGAAGGUUCUGGGGUACAUGUGCAGAUCAUGCAGGAUUGUUGCAUCGGUACAUACAUGGCAAGUUGAGUACUACCUUCUGGGAUGAAAGGUGGGAAGCAGAAUGCCUGCUAGAAGCUGAUUCUAAGACUGUUUCCAGAUAGAAUAACUGAUGGACAUUGAAAAAAGCAAGCAGUGGAUACAAACUUCAGAAAACGUAUGAUGCUAGCUGAAUAUCAGAGAGUGAAGUAAAAAAUGCCUCCCGCCAUUGAGCAACUGAUGGUUCCUCACUUGGCCAAAGUGGAUGAAGCUCUCCAGCCUGGCUUGGCUGCACUGACCUGGACGUCUCUGAAUAUUCAGGCAUAUUUAGAAAACACUUUUGCAAAGAUCAUGUCGGUUUGCUGAGAAUGAUGGUUUCCAGAUUCAUCUGUGUCCCUACAAAGGACAUGAACUCGUCGUUUUUUAUGGCUGCAUAGUAUUCCAUGGUGUAUAUGUGCCACAAUUUCCCUAUCCAGUCUGUCAUCAAUGGGCAUUUGGGUUGGUUCCAGGUCUUUGCUAUUGUAAACAGGAACAGAAAAUCAAAA